rnacentral:rRNA from 1 species
GACGAACGCUGGCGGCGUGCCUAAUACAUGCAAGUUGAGCGAUGAAGCUUGGUGCUUGCACCAAUUUGAAGAGCAGCGAACGGGUGAGUAACGCGUGGGGAAUCUGCCUUUGAGCGGGGGACAACAUCUGGAAACGAAUGCUAAUACCGCAUAACAACUUUAAACAUAAGUUUUAAGUUUGAAAGAUGCAAUUGCAUCACUCAAAGAUGAUCCCGCGUUGUAUUAGCUAGUUGGUGAGGUAAAGGCUCACCAAGGCGAUGAUACAUAGCCGACCUGAGAGGGUGAUCGGCCACAUUGGGACUGAGACACGGCCCAAACUCCUACGGGAGGCAGCAGUAGGGAAUCUUCGGCAAUGGACGAAAGUCUGACCGAGCAACGCCGCGUGAGUGAAGAAGGUUUUCGGAUCGUAAAACUCUGUUGGUAGAGAAGAACGUUGGUGAGAGUGGAAAGCUCAUCAAGUGACGGUAACUACCCAGAAAGGGACGGCUAACUACGUG